ACGAUGUAUUGUUCCGCGUUGGUCGGAUUAAUCAUAACGAAACUCGGUUAGAGCCGGACGCGAAUUAAUGUCCCGCGAUCACGGGAACGUCGGGUUUUCCGCGACACCCGGAAUCGAUAACGAGGCCAAACGAAACCGGAUGCCAGCCCCGGGCCGGGUAUUAAUCAUAGGUAUCUUGGAUAAUCUCACGAAUUUCGGCGAUGGACCUGUGCACGAGCGAGAAACUAGAAAGGGGAAGGGAGGAGGAGGGAAGAGUUGAGGUGGGAUCUUCCGGGCGUCAUCUUCAGCUCGACUUGGCCUGAUUAUAUCCUAUCCCACUCGCUGAACCCCCCGAGCCAGAGCUGACGCGCAAAACCGAAAGCGGGUUCCUCGCUUGUCGAGCGAAGUCUUCUUACGCGCGACCGAAUGCGCUCGAUAAUGUCCAGAAUGAAUUCGGAACGUGCAAUGCCGUAGGUUUAUGGACACUCAUGUUCGGCAACCGAAGGGAUUAUAAGUAGAUUGAGGUAGGUAGAUUGAGCGAGAUUGAGACAUCGUGGAUGGAGCACGAGAGACUCGCGGGAAGAUAUUUGCUGGUAAUUCUAAGAGGCGUAGAUGUAUGGAUUUUUAAAAAAUAUCGGUUUAUAGGGAAUGAUAAGACGGAACUUUUUUAUAUGUAUUGUUUCUUCAUGCGACGUUUAGUUUCAGAGAUAAAAAUUGAAAACUAAGAAGACCUUUUUCAUGAGAUCUCGUAGUGGUCUGAUCCUGUUGCUGUUUUCUUAAGAAAAAAGAAAACAACAGUCGAACAAUUGAAUUUAAAAAAAAUAUCAGUUUAUUGGGAAUGGUAGAACGAAACUUUUUUAUAUGUAUUGUUUUUUCAUUCGACGUUUAGUUUCAGAGAUAAAAAUUGAAAACUUAUUGGUUACGCGAUUCUUAUUAGUGUUUAAUCGGAGACUGAAUGUUACUACAUAUAUGCAUUGUAAAUAUUCAGUUAAUUCGGAGAUGUACAUAGUUGAUGCAUUUGAAAGUUUCAGAUUAUUAUAAGGAUGUUUUUCGAAGGGGGGAGGGGAAGCUUAAAUAAACGCUCGAUCGCUGUCAAGCUUGAAAAUCGAAUCACGCCCCCGAACCUCUGGCCACGAAAUUCCAAUUCCCGGUCCCGGAAAUGGUGUUGUCCCUCGAAUGGAGUUCGAUUCCGAAUUAGGAAGCCACCUGCCUCGUAUUGCGCGGGGCCGUACAAUUUUCGCGCAAUAGAAUAAUUCCGCUUAUGCGAAAGGUGACCGGAGUCAUCUGUACUUUCAAUUUAUUUUUGUGACAUUGUGCAUAUCGGUUUAACACUAAACAUACUUUAUUUGUAAUUGGUGAUGGGUGAAAUGUCUAGUCUUAAAGACACUUUUUUCAAUUAAAUGCGAAACAAUAGUGUUCAACAAAAUUUUAUGUGGAAUUAAAAUGAAUAAUGCAUGAAAUAAUAUAAUAUAGUUGAUAUAUUCCAUAUAAGACAUUUUUCUGAUUUUAAAAACCAAAUGUAUCUAAUAAAUUAUUAACAUUAAAGACUACAUCAGCGGUAAUAUUUUUCUUAAAUCACUCUAAUUUUAAUAUGAUAUCGUAACUGUGAUUAGAGGUUUUCUAGACGAGGAUUAACAAUGCCGCUAUCUGUUUCACGUGGACUCGUCGUUGGGGCCAAUAUCAACUCGCGCUAGAUAGUAAUUAUUGGCCCGAAUAAAGUCACGUUGGACGCGAACGGUAUUUACUGAUAAUCAUAAACUGGGACUCUUCCGUCGUGGAUUACAUCACGGUGAGUAAACAUCGCCGGCUGUUGGAAACAGAGGGACCGUUCGGAACCGCACCGACUCCCGUGCUGCUAUUUGUACUCUAUGAACGCACUAUGCUUGUUCACGGCUACCGUGGGGCGGAGGCGCUGUGAUUUAUCGACGAUGACGUCCCACUGCAAAACCAUGGCUUUGAUAUGGAUAUAUACAUGGAAAAAUCAUUCUAAAAUUGUGUUUAAGUGUGAUCAGUAGCUCGAUUAUUAAGUAUCCAAGUUAAAUAUACAUUUUUAUAGGUGUU